UACGGAAGGUCCGGGCGUUAUCCGGAUUUAUUGGGUUUAAAGGGAGCGCAGGCUGGAGGGUAAGCGUGACGUGAAAUGCCGCGGCUCAACCGUGGAAGUGCGUCGCGAACUGUCCUUCUUGAGUGUAUUCGACGUAGGCGGAAUUCGCGGUGUAGCGGUGAAAUGCUUAGAUAUCACGAAGAACCCCGAUUGCGAAGGCAGCCUACGAGGCUACAACUGACGCUAAAGCUCGAAGGUGCGGGUAUCGAAC
rnacentral:rRNA from 1 species